UUCGCGGGUGCAGGUCAGGUCAAGUCGGCUCGGUUUGGGGGUUGCGGGGCGGCGCGCGGGUCACGCCAGAUUCUUAUUUUCAGGUGGUGAGCUUGUGGGUUCCUUGCCGGGUGUGUUCUUUAGGGAGCUCUGGGAAGAUCUGAGGCCAAACAGCGGCCCUGGCUUCUACGCCCCCCCCGCCCCCCAUGGUUUUCGCAGCCGGCAGCUCGCCCCAGUUUUGCCCUCUGGGUUUGGAAGAGUCGAUCGGGAUGCUGAAUGUUUGGGGCUCCCUUCCCUGAGGGAAGUAGCCGACUGGAUUCAUACCGUUUACUGGCCAGGUACCAGGGCUCCUUGGAGAAAUGGCUGAGGCCAGGUCGAGAGCUGGGAAUGAAUAAAAGUGAUUGGAACUUCUUGUGAUAGAAAGUAAGGAAGUAUCCAAGAAAAACGAGGUCCUUUCAAAACGGCGUGGGAGCCAGCUUGAAGGUACUUAAGGAAGUUAGAAAACCCAUUUGCUUUCAUUGCGUGCCAAAAUUUUGACUGACGCAAAGGCAGAUCCACUAUCGGAGGAGCAAAUCACAGUGAGCUGACGGCCUUUUGGCACCUAGCCAGCAGGAUCUGCAGAAUCCAGCAGGAGGGACGCAGGGCCAACCCUGAGGUGGCCAAGACAACCUUUCCAGCUACACUGACCUUUCUGCCCUUGUCUCCUAGUCAGGUAAAUAGGAACAAUCAGAUGUGCUGUAACAAAGACCUGAAUCCUGUCAAGGUGACACCUAAAAUUUACCACCACACUGUAUGACCCAGUUCUGGUCAACAAGAUGUCAGCAGGAGCUGUUGCGUGGGGCUUCUGGGAGGACUCCUGAGGAAGGCGACAGUUCCCUCUUCCCCAUCCUCCCUGCCUGAGAAGUGAGGCUAGUGUUUGGCACUUCAUCAGCCAUCUUGACCGAGCCCCGCCGGGGAAGCAUGGAGCAGGGACCAAGGCUUAAAUGCACAAAGAGCCAGGCGAGGCAUUGGUAGGCGUGGCCCUGCUAAUUAAAGCCCACAGCAGCAACAACAAACGCUGUGCAAUCUGAACAAACCUGCUGCAGUGAUGGGACUGAGUCAAUGGGCCACCCCUGCUGUGGACGGCGGGGCCGGGGGUGGGAGGACAAGCGUGUUAGUUUCCUAGGGCUGCCAUAGUGAAGUACCCCAAACUGGGCAGCUUAAACAACAGAAGUGUAUUGUCUCACGGUUCUGGAGGAUGAAGUCCAAAACUCAGUGUUGGCAGAGCCGGGCUCCCGCCGAAGCUUUUAGGAGAGGCUCUUUGCAGCUCUGGCAGUCCUGGGUGUCACUCAGCUUCUGACAGCACGACUCUAAUCUCUGCCUCUGUAUUCACCGGCUGUCUUCCCUCUGUGUCCAUGUCCAGAUUUCCCUCUUCUUAUAAAGACACCAGUCAUACUGGGUUAAGGGUCCACCCUGCUUCCAUUUGAACCCAGUUACAUCUGCACUGACUUCAUUUCCAAAUGAGGUCACACUUUCAGAUGACUUUAUCUUUUGGGGGGACACAAUUUAAACCAUAACUGGAAAUCUGAGGUCCCAAUCAGCUGGAAACUUGCCAUCCUAACUUUGGUGAGCCUUUUGUUUGUUUUGUAUGUCUUUAUACUAGCUUACAUAAGCUCCCUCCUUCUCACCAAAUUACCAAAGCCAGAGUCCCACUAAUAUUUAGUGAUUGACCCUUUCUCUCUCUGCAGGAGAGGCAUAGGGGGCCGGAUGCCUUAGGUAAGGGCUGAGAAGGGGCUUGGAGGGUUUCCCUGUGCACACUCUCUGGGGGCAGGGUCACGUGCUCAGAACUCUGCUCUGCAGGCCUCUGAAGGCUAGGCCUGCACAAGCCUUUGUACACCCCUCUGGCAGCCUAAGUGCUGGAUUGUGGGGAGCUGCUCCCCUCUGCUGGACAGAUAGAAACCUGCUCUCCUUCCAUUUCUUAGAGCUUUGUUUCCCUGUCACAAGUUCACAAACCCAUAGUAAGAGCUGGAAGAGGCCAGAAGUCAGCAGGUCCAGUCCCCCUCAUGUUCAGAGGGGGAGACUGAGUCCAGAGAGUUAGAGGAGGAACCAGGAUGAGGUAUGCGACACCUUCCCUCCCAUACCAAGUCUGGGAAGCAUCCCUUAGGAUCCUGUAGGUGUGGGCUAGGAAUUCUGCACACACCUUAGCUUGAGGACAAAUGGAAGGAGGAGAAGGGGCGGGUACCUUACUUCAAGCAGAGGCAUCAGAAAGCUAGAGAGAUGCUGACCCAGAGAAGCGUACCAGGGCCACCAGUCAGUCCGCUCACUCUGGAUAAUACCCCAUCAGCCUGUGGGCGGGAGCCCAGCUUCGCCUAGCUCCAUAUGCCUAAAAAAGGAUGUAUAAACAGAACUUCUGUCAAUCGACUGCUCUUUUUCACCCUUUCUCUCCUUCUCCUGUGUCCCAGAUAUCCUUACCAACUUUCUCAUGCAUGGCCCAGUGGUUGUAGAGUAGUUAGAGCAAGCUCGCUGCUCUAACAGAGCAGAAUGUGUAAUAGCACAGAUGCAACAGAAAUAUACUAUUUGCUCAUGUUCCCAGUUCAAAGAGCUUGUCAGAAAGGAGUAGGGCAAUGGGCUCUGUUCCACAUAGUCACUCAGGAACCAGGUUCUGCCAUUUUUAACACAUGGACAUUGAUUUCCAGCCAGCAGAAGAGAACAGCAUAAAGGGUGGCACAUGGGGGUUCAUACAGCCAGGCUGAGAAGUGGUGUACAGCAGGUUCAAUUAUAUUCCAUUGCCUAGAACUCAAAGGAGUUAAAGAGUGGGUUAAACUGUUGGAAACUUCUGGAAAAGAGAAAGAGAACAACAGAGGAAAAUAGAGCACCAGAGGUCCAGCCUCACCUCUCCCCUCCCCUGCAGGGUGAGUGUAUGAGGGAGAAAGGCUUGCGUAUGUGCGUGAAAUGGACUUUGUGUUUGCUUAGAAAUAGUACAAAUUGUGGACCCGCUAACAAUAGUGUUUAUCGUUGAGGAAUUAGAUUUUGAAGGACUUUCCAUAUUACCCCAUUUCAAAAUAUUUUCAAAAUGCAGAGAUUAUUCAUUCUGUAAAACAAUGCAAACACCACAGAUAUAUUCUACAUAUUAAAACUAUAAGUCCCCCUUUUCUCUUUAUUCUUUCCUCUCUGACUCUCAAUUUCCAAAUC